CUAUGAUGUCCAUCUGGUCCAGUGGGUCACUUAAGCCGUCUUCCCUGCUCCAAUACCUGGUAGAUCUGCCACGUGCAGGCAGCCCCAGUCUUUCUGUGACCCAGAGGGUCCUGAGACCACACUGUUCCAGUGAGGGUUCCAGACCCCGCUAGCCACUGGAGUGACAUACCUCACCAGAGCAGACUUCAAAAAAUAUCCAAAGAGAAGCAAGGAUCUGCAGAGCAGAGAAGAUGUGAGAACCCAGGAAAGAUUUCUGGCACCAAACAAAGGAGAAAAGGUUUGCCCUUAUGUUUUACUCCUAAGGAUGGAGGAGAAUUUUUAAGCCAAGACAAUAAAUCUGGAAGGAAUAUCAGAAAUGACAGACAUAUUUGAUUACAUAAAAUUUCCCGAAUGACCAUUUAUACUGUAAGUGAAGUCGAUUGUGUAAU